rnacentral:rRNA from 1 species
GAUGAACGCUGGCGGCGUGCCUAAUACAUGCAAGUCGAGCGAACGGACGAGAAGCUUGCUUCUCUGAUGUUAGCGGCGGACGGGUGAGUAACACGUGGAUAACCUACCUAUAAGACUGGGAUAACUUCGGGAAACCGGAGCUAAUACCGGAUAAUAUUUUGAACCGCAUGGUUCAAAAGUGAAAGACGGUCUUGCUGGCACUUAUAGAUGGAUCCGCGCUGCAUUAGCUAGUUGGUAAGUUAACGGCUUACCAAGGCAACGAUGCAUAGCCGACCUGAGAGGGUGAUCGGCGACACUGGAGCUGAACCACGGACCAGACUCCUACGGGAGGCAGCAGUAGGGAAUCUGCCGCAAAGGGCGAAAGCCUGACGGAGCAACGCCGCGUGAGUGAUGAAGGUCUUCGGAGCGUAAAAAUCUGUUAUUAGGGAAGAACAUAUGUGUAAGUAACUGUGCACAUCUUGACGGUACCUAAUCAGAAAGCCACGGCUAACUACGUG